rnacentral:lncRNA from 1 species
UGAGCUACUAGUCUCAUCAUGAUAUCUAAAAAGUGCAACCUUGGAAUGCAAGCCAACGAACAACAUCAAUAGAAGUUUUGACUCAUAAUUUAUUAUUUUGAAUUUGUUCAGAACACUGAGCUUGCAUAAUUUUAUCUAUAUGUCUAGAUUGAUUCAUUAAAUCAGCACAAGACUUUAGAGCAUUAUUAUGCGGUAAGCAAGGAUCCUCUCCAAUGUGAUUAAGGACGUCUUUUUCCAUCAUUUACUUUUUUUUAAUUUUUAAAACCCUUAGCUAUAAAUACAUUCGAACCUGCAGAAGAGAGGAACAACAAUAGAAUAGGAUAACCAGCAUUCCAAAAUUAUCCUUUGAUAAUGGUAACAGAUAUUUCUGU